rnacentral:rRNA from 1 species
GAUGAACGCUGGCGGCGUGCCUAACACUUCAAGUCGAACGGAGUCCAGCCUUUAAGACCUUCGGGUCAAAGAGGGGAAGACUGAGUGGCGGACGGGUGAGUAACACGUGGGCAACCUGGCUCAUAGAGGGGGAUAACAGAGAGAAAUUUCUGCUAAUACCGCAUCAGCACACCCUGCCGCAUGGCAGAGGGUGAAAAGCGAAUCGCUAUGAGAUGGACCCGCGUCUGAUUAGCCAGUUGGCAGGGUAAGAGCCCACCAACGCGACGAUCAGUAGCCGAUCUGGGAGGAUGAACGGCCACAUUGGGACUGAGACACGGCCCAAACUCCUACGGGAGGCAGCAGUGGGGGCUAUAGCCCGAUGGGGCGAACCCUGAUGCAGCGACGCCGCGUGAGUGACGACGUACUUCGGUAUGUAAAGCUCUCUCAGCAGGGAAGAUAAUGACAGUACCUGAAUAAGAAGCCCCGGCUAACUACGUG